AAUUCUCUGGGAUAUGCGUAAUACAUCGGGCGAGGCCCUGAUUAUCAUUUAUUGCAAAUUCGAAUAUUGAGUUCAAUCGUGGUGAGCAAGCUCUCCAUGCAGAGAGAAGCCUGAAGCGUUUUCUCAAUAGAAUACAAGGACAAGAUCAGCCACUCUCACGAACAUACGAUAUCCCGGAGCGAAU
rnacentral:other from 1 species